GGCACAAACAUAUUUGGUAAGUAAACCAUACAUUUGGCACAGUGAAGAAUUUGAUGUCCUGUCAAAGAUGUAUGUGGAUGACACGACAGGCCAUAACGGGAAAAAAGUGCAAGUGAUUUUUAUACUGACAUUUCUUCUUUCAGUCCUCAACAUCAGUUUGAAGCUUGAUGUCCCAACAUGACAAAAAAUUCAUAUUUAACCAGUACCCCUGAAAAGUAGAAGAGAGAGUGUGCUCAGAUACAACAGGGCACCAUCCUUUGGUCUUAAAAUGCAUAAAAUAUGCUGCAUCUUUCUGCCUCUCUUCCAGCUGGCGCUGAGAUGACACACAGGCCUUUUCCGUCCAUCACCUGUGUUAGCAGCAAAGGCCUGGGCGGCAAAAAGGGACCCCAGAUGCUUUCUACUGACUUCCACCCAUCGAUGCAGCUUCAGUGAUCCAGAAACAGAAAGCAUCUUGAGAUGGACUCUGGCCAUUUGGUGAUUUCCUUCAGGCUCAUAAAAUCAAGUAAAAUCUCUGUACUUUGCUAAGUAGAACCUGCCUAUUUUUUUCACAAGGUGGGCACGUACCUACAGCCUAAGCCCCUACGGUUCUGGAGACAUCUGGGGCCUCUUCCUGCUGCUGUUCCAGCAAGAACCUCAUGUGAGAAAGCAUUGUACAUUUGUCACUAAAACUAAUAUGCAAUUCUAUUUCUGCACGUGUUUUUAAAAUGAGAAAGAUGGUGCCCUACAGAAGGUGUACAACAUAAGAAAUCUAAACGUAUAACACAGAGCUACCUUACUUGGAGAACCGGGAUACCUCUGGCACACCAUAUUUUGGAUUCCCAUCAUCCGGGACAACCUGAACAGGCAGUCUGGGGCUGAUAGGAAGUCUUCACCUCUGCCUUACUGACAGAAGGAGAUGCGUGUGGUGGGCUGACGAACUUUACAGAUACUUGGGUAAAGCCAACUGGCGCUUUCCUGCAUCUGUAGACGGUGGCCACUAAAUUCACAGCUGCGUUUUGGUGAUAACCAGCUCUGAAAGGAUUACCAGAAGUCGUUAUAUAAUCCCUUUGUGAACCCUGUAUUGAAAGAGACUAGGCAGAGUGCACAGAUUCUUCGGGGAGGGGGGGAUUAAAACAGGGUGUCCUCUCUUUAUUCAGAAUGCACUCUGCCUCUUUUGCACACCCUGCUGAAAUGAGAAAGGGUUCAUUCAGCAGAAGUUCCACGAAUGCUCCGCUCACUGGUGGGUUGUGUAGGAAAUUUAUUUGCCCUAAAAAAUGCUUUUUUCAAAGAGAAUGCAUGUAAAAUAUAGCUACUGCCUGCCAGAUCUGGCAAAGCGGAUCCACUGACAAAAAUAGUUAUGCUGAUGUUUUCUUUCUUCACCCCACCUCAUACUUUUGAACAUUUGAGGAACUUGCUUGUUAAGAGAAAAUAUUUAAUUGAAUGACGUCAUCGUCGCCCGUAUCCCUGUCUGCAUGCUUAUAUGGGUGGAUCGAUUCCUGAUGGCGCUGGAGCUUAACAAGAACUAGAAUUACACUUAGAGGAAACAGUACCACCCGUUUAAGGAAAAUAAAAAUAAAAAAUGUGGCA
rnacentral:lncRNA from 1 species